rnacentral:lncRNA from 1 species
AUUCACUGUAAUCACUCCUGCCAGGCAGCACUGCUGUGCUAUUCUGUGAUUUCACAGGCAUUAUAGCAAUGGAAGCGCUGUCACCUAGACAAAAUUUUUCCCAGUGAUGCUUUGGAAGGCAAAGAAAAUGAUGGGCUGCUUCUGAUAGAUGAUAUAACUGGAGGCGGAGGUGGAAAUAUACUGGAAAACCAUUUUCGUCAUCAAGGAAAGCUUAACUGUACCAGAGCAAUCCCAAAGUGAUGUGAACCAAUGCUACCUACCAGCAAUACUAAAAUCAGGUUUCACAUAGUCCUCCACAGGCAGAAGCUGACUUGUCUGUCUUCCUCCUGGAACACAACACCACUCUGGGACCAGAAGGCUGAGCAGAGGCAAUGCCAGAAGCAGGGAGAGUCAGAGGCCCCACCUUUGGAUGUUUUCAAAACCUGAGUGACCAAGACUUGAGAUAGCCCAGUCAAACUAGGAAGUUAGCCCUGACUAGAGCAGUGGACUGAAGAAGGUGCCUCCAGAGGUCCUUUCCACCAUAAAGCUGCCUUCACUUCCUUUUUCUUUAGCCCCUGAGAAGUGCAAAGGUCUGAGCAUAACAAUAUUAUCUCUUAUGGUUCUCUGCAUACUUCUGUGUCACCUUCUAUUCAUGCUGAGAAUAAUAUCUGCAAAGGACUACUUGAACAACAUACAGGAAGAUCUCCCUAGACACAGGAAUGGUUUUCUUUCUU